rnacentral:misc_RNA from 1 species
GGAAAUCACAAUCUUAAUAAUUUGACAAGAAUUAGUCAUAUCUGGCCCACUCAAUAAUUUUCUAAUUUGCUUCAAUAAUAUGUUCCCUUCCAUCGGGGAAAACCCACUGUGCUAAUGAGAGAGACACAUCCUCUGAUUAGUUAUUUUCUUCUCCUCACACCUCUCAUGUCCUUCUACUGGGGAAACAAGAAAGCUAAGUUCCUGUUCUUGCCCUCCGGUGAGAUGGUGAGGGAUGGGCGACACGCGUUGGGUCCCGAAGCGUGGUUCUUCCAUUACCAUUGAAAGAUCUUUUUUCUUUAUUAUUAUUCUUUUAUUUUCCUGCUAAAUAAAGGGAUUUUAUUUUUUUUUAUUAUGGGGUGGGUUUGAACUUUGAACUUAAUGAUGGUAGGGCAAGAGUAGACUUGGAAUGAAGUACCGGACCAUCAUUCUCACCAUUUAGAAGACAACUGCACAUUUGCUUUAAAGAUCAAGCUUCACUUCCAUGACCAAAACCUAGCUCCAAUCAAUUGUUGAGUCUAGAACAUUUGCAAGCUAGCCCAUGUCGUUCUCAGUUUUCCUCCAUUGACAACUGUGGCUGCAUAUAACAUCUAGGAAUUAGCAAUAGGACAUGGAAAAAUGAGAUUUCAUCAUACUUUCUGAUUCGCCUCCAAGACUAGUGAUGUCUCUCUAGAGCUUGGAUGAGAAGGGCCAUCAACUGUGGCUGCAUAAUAACAUCUAGGAAGCAAUAGGACAUGGAAAUGAGAUUUCUUCAUACUUUCUGAUUCGCCUCCAA